AUACUUACCUGGCGCGGGGGGAUACCGUGAUCAAGAAGGCGGUGCCUCCAGGACGAGGCCUGUAACAUUGCACUCCGUAUGGGGCUGACUCCUGCGACUACCCCAAAUCGGGUGUGGCUCGAGCGCAUAAUUUUUGGUAGUGGGGACAAGCGUUCGCGCUCGCUGUCCCCU
rnacentral:snRNA from 1 species